rnacentral:rRNA from 1 species
AUUGAACGCUGGCGGCAGGCCUAACACAUGCGAGUCGAGCGGAUGAAGGGAGCUUGCUCCUGGAUUCAGCGGCGGACGGGUGAGUAAUGCCUAGGAAUCUGCCUGGUAGUGGGGGAUAACGUCCGGAAACGGGCGCUAAUACCGCAUACGUCCUGAGGGAGAAAGUGGGGGAUCUUCGGACCUCACGCUAUCAGAUGAGCCUAGGUCGGAUUAGCUAGUUGGUGGGGUAAAGGCCUACCAAGGCGACGAUCCGUAACUGGUCUGAGAGGAUGAUCAGUCACACUGGAACUGAGACACGGUCCAGACUCCUACGGGGGGCAGCAAUGGGGAAUAUUGGACAAUGGGCGAAAGCCUGAUCCAGCCAUGCCGCGUGUGUGAAGAAGGUCUUCGGAUUGUAAAGCACUUUAAGUUGGGAGGAAGGGCAGUAAGUUAAUACCUUGCUGUUUUGACGUUACCAACAGAAUAAGCACCGGCUAACUUCGUG